rnacentral:lncRNA from 1 species
GACAUAAAUCUUGUCCAAAACGACCUUUUUUUUAUAGGUACGAAGUGAGUAUAUGAAAUAUAAUUAACAUCUGUAAUAAUCUGCCACAAAUAUAUACAGCGUGGAAAACUGAGCAAGCAACAUGAAACCAGACGGCCGGUAUGAAAAUUGACCUGCUGCUCCCAUCCGUUGUAAAAUACAUAAUAGGUGCGAAUAGUUAAUUAAGCUAACCAAGAGUGUAUUAAUUAGCAGGCUUUUCUAUGUAAAAUUUAAAUAUCUACUAGAAAAUAUAGAAUUUACUAGUGACCUUUAUAAUUUCACAAAAAUACAAAGGGUAUAUAUGUUGGUCAUUUUGACUACUGUCUCUUUUUCAAAAAAUAAAAUGCCAAAUAACUAGUCAAACAGUUUCUUAGAGUGAUUUUAAUUUGUCAAAUGAUGUUUCCAAUGAGCUAGAA